CCCACAGGUCAGCCAGACAGACUCAAUUUACACGUACGGAUCACUUGAUGUAUUGUUGUCGCUACUUCGGCGAGGCGUGCCGCCCCUGAAACCUCUCCGUCGACACCGGUACAUUUACAUGCGAGGGCGACUCCGUCGUAGCUCUACACCACGUGUGUUUUCAUCAACCUCUGGAAGACGUUUUACCUUUUUGCUUUAUUUCGCUUUAAUGGCAGUGGCGAGGUCAUUGACUUGAACAGUCACGUGAUGGAAAUGACGACAUGUCUGAACUGAAGUUACUUGAUGUGCUGAUAAAAAAAGGACAAAGCAUAACGACGUACUCCAAUGCAGUUGUUGGAAGGACAUCCUGUAUUGUUGCAUUAUUACCAACCAGAGCGGCCCAUCAACCGGUCAUCGCACGGGGACUCCAUCGUACACGGCUCGCUGGGUGCUGACAGGCAGCUAGGUCUCCCUUUGUGGCUAGGGAUGGCCCCACGAGGGGUGCAUGACUACCAGUACGGUGCAACCAACCCUGCCGAAAAAAAGAAACCUGUUGAGCACCCGUGAUGGUAUCAUCUGCGGUCGUCGACUUAUUCAUGACCCUUUGGAAAGAGAAUGAAUGCUGUGUGUCGGCCGAAAUAGUGGUCACUCGCGACUCGGACUCGGACUCGGCCUUCAUGACUUGGGACACGGACUCUGACUAGGGAGAGGUGACUCGCUGACUUGGACUGGACUCGAUGUUUGGGGACUCGAAUACAAGUCUGGAAGGUUUUGAUGUCAAGGUAGCCAAAAGAGAAACCUACCCAUACCGAUAAACUACAUCAAGUUAUCAACACAACUGCAUUGUUACAUAUCUAGGCUAUGAUAUUCCCGACGGUUAUACGACCGUGGUGAU